UUCAAAUAUAUCAAAAUUUUAAAGAAUUACUACAAUAUCCAUCCAAUUUUCAAAAUUUCCCCCAAAUUUGCAUUACCUUUAAUUGUUGUGUAUCAUUUGUGCAUGUCAUUAUGAUUGAUGACAUACAUGUAUGUAAAUGUCGUGGGACUAUCAGAUUGCUAUACCAGUAAAAAUGGUGAAAUGGUGUUUCAUGAUGGAAAUAAACAUUUCAAGAUAAAUUUUUCAUUUUUAGAAUCAAUGAUAUCUUCUGAACAAUCUUAGACGUUGUGAUUGCACACUUUGCUUUCCAAUACCUUAUAUUUUAUCAUUCACAUGAACAAUAGUCUGGAACUGUUGUUCUGUGGGUUAAUGAUGUAUUCAACUGUACUGAAGUGUUUUUAAACAGCAUAUUAGGAAUUAUUUUCAGGUAAAAAUGAUUGGAUCUUGUAGUUAAAGAAGACAAUUAAGCCUAUAAAACUGAUACAUGUACUAUACAGAUCCAUUUUUGGGGGGUGGCGUUUAUUGCAUUCUUUAUGUACAUAUAUUUUGAUAUCUUGCUGUUUUUUGUUGUUGAUUUUUCACUUUAGUAUGUUUAACAGUAUAAUUUUUAUGGGUGAAAAUUGAGAGCAGUUAUUGAAUAUUGACAUAGAAUGGGAUACAUGUAACAUGCAAUGACCAAUGUUCUCAGUCUUCCUUUCUUUCCCUUCUAUCCAUGUCUGAUUACCAAAAUGAAUCAUCCUUCAUCAAUAGUAAUGCUGCUUAAACACAUUCAGGUCUUUAAUGAGAAUGCUACAUCACAGUGAGGAGACAUUAGCCUGCAUCUUCAGCCCAUCAUAGUUAAAAGCACAAGAUAAUCAGGUUAACCUUAAAAGUAAGGACAAUUGAUCUUCAUUUAAAAUGUCUUUUAGGUGCGUUACUUGUACAUUCUGCUUGAAAACGGGAGGUGUAGGUACAGAGAACGUUGAUGGCCUUUUCAUAGUUUUAUAUCUUGAUUUCAUGUUGAAGAUCAUACUAUAAGUGACCUUUCCGUCUGUAAUGUACAGUAGAGCAGCCUUUUUUAUGUAGAUUAGUGAAAUAUAGUGGUCUGUAAAACCACAACAUUGGACGUUGGACCACAUCUGGGCAAUCAGCAAUCGUCUUUAUAUCUCUAGAAUCAACAUUGUAGCAAAUGUUAUACUUCAUUUGAUUGUAGAUGAAUGCACAAUUCAACAUUAUAUUGCUAUACAUAAUUCCUUUUUUUUCCCUCAUAAAUAAUCAGCAUUUUGAAUCGAAAAACUGGACAGGAAUUUUCUCUAUAAUCCAGACUUGCUGUAAGUUGAUGCCUAUAUCUAUUGGAAGAUGAUUCUUUAAUUGGCCAGAUGCAUUUCCAUACCCUAUCUGGCGUAAAACCAAAAGUUGCAUUUGUUCAGGCUAUAUUCAUGUCAACAAGCAGAUGUUAAAAAGUAGAAUAAUCGAGUGUAUAUAUGUAAAUUUACUUUGUAUGCUUUGCCUUUUAUUAGGUUGAUAUU